CAGCUGUUUUGAUACAUGCUCGACUUUCUUUUUCUCUUGUGCAAUGGGGUUUAUGAGUUAAUUAGCCAAAACGGGACCUUAAAAAGGUGUAAGUAACCGUACUAAGUUCGUAAGAACGGAAUGUCUAGAGACUACACGGCUGAGCGAUUUAGCUCUCAUAAAUGGAUAGUCCUCAGUAUACCAUCUGAGCAUCCCAUACAAAAUGGUUA
rnacentral:autocatalytically_spliced_intron from 2 species